rnacentral:lncRNA from 1 species
UCCUCUUAGAAUUUCUCGGCUUUUCUUGCUUAUUUAUUUUCCCAGAUGAAUGUCAAAAUCAACUUCAAUAUUUCCAGAAAAUAAUGGUUAUGUUUACUGAAAUAGCAUUAAAAACAGAUUAAGAAUGUUGGCUGAAAUGAAAAUUAAUGAUGAAGUUUGAAAAUAAUCAAAUAAAUCUUUCAGAAAAAAAUGGACAAAAAGAAAAUUUGAGAGAGAAAAAAUUAGACAUUUAAGGACUCAGAAAAAUGUAUAUCUGAUGCACACACCUUUCUGAGAGGGUUACUUGGAGGAUGUUCUCUAUCAAAAUGAGGAAAUAAACCAAGGAAUAGUGAAAGAUAAGGAAGUCAGUGGCUGCAGCAGGCCUCAGCAGGCCUUAUGGUUCUUAGAUGUGGCUGUACAUUAAAAUUGACUGGGGAAACUUAUUAAGCAUAUGACUAUAUCCCUCCACUUCACCCUCCCCAUCUCCAAAUUCUGAUUUAAUUUCUCUGGAGUGGAGCCCAGGUAUUAGUGUUUCUUCGAGGUUUCCCAGGUAAUUCUAUUGAGCAGCAAAGGUGAGAAACACCAAAUUAUGAAGAAAAGUAUCUUUCUAUAUACAGACUUUUAGUCAUUAUGGAUGGAACAAUCAUUUGCUGCUUUUAUUGUGUUUUUCAGCCAGAUCUGCAGGUCAGAACUUUAAACCACAGGUGAAUUCCAUGUAUGAUACAGAGUAUUUAUGUAUUAACUACUAGCUUUAAAUGGUUAAUAUUCACAGGGGAAAUACAAUAGGUUUUUAGAGUUUUUCAAUAUAUCAGAGAAAAAAACAAAAA